rnacentral:lncRNA from 1 species
GGGGAGGCCACUCUGGAUCUCCGAGUUCCCAGCCUGAGCUGCCGGAGUUAGAGGUGUCCGCGCGGGAAAGUGGCUCGCUGGUGGGCGGGGAGCCUUAUCUCUGGCGGUGGGUUGAAAAUCCGGCGCCGGGCAGAUGCCCACGUUCGCUGGACCCCUGCUUGCCGGCGUCCGCUACAACCCAAGGAAGGUGGGCCCGACCUCGCCAGGUCGCUCGCCUGCGGGUGGGCAUUUGGUCCGGAUCCCCUUCCCUCUGCGGCCCACACCUGUCUCCGGGACUGGGGAGGGCUGCAGGGAUCGGGGCAGAUCUGCCUUUGCGGGCCGAGAGUGACAGCUGAAGUCUCCCCACCAACUAAGCUACUCGCGGGCGGAGUGGGGUCUGCGCUGGCAAGCCCCUGGGCGCGCGGGUGCCCGCUCUGGCUCGCCCCCAGGGCUGACCUACCCAAGCCACAGGAAAACUCUGGGAAGAGGGUCGCGGAUUCCAACGCGGAAGUGGUGGGGGAUUGAGUCUGAGAGGUUGGGGAGUCCUACCUUCCAUUGCCACGAGUGCUAGUUCUAUCUGCCAGUUUCUUCCUUGAAAUGUCUUGUGGCAACCAGUGACAUUGAUGGUUUCAUGAAUGGACUUCCUACCGGUAGACCCUGCAAGAGCAUGAACUCCACUGUAUCAUUCAUCCAAAUGAAGAAAGAAAGAAAAUAGUAUGUGAUAUUUUGAAAUAACCUGGCAUCUGCCACUUAAAUGGUUAAAAAUAGAACUUAAGGUUUGGAAGAGAUUGUUUCGUGAUGACAGACUUUAAUUCUGAAUUUAUUCAAAGCUGGAAAGACACUCGUCGUGUCAUUUCCUCUAUUUAAUUUAGCUUUAUCUUGAUGGCAAGACUUCCAGAAACUAAGCCACUUUAAGAGUUGUGCUCCCAGUUGUAGGUUACACAGUACCAAGUGUCAUCUAAUUAUACAUCAGGCAACAUGAAAAAAAA